AUGGUUGGCAAGGAACAGUGCACGGGAUGGGAGGAUCGAAUCAUCGAAGAGGCGUCAGAUACUGAACGAUCAGUGGUGAAGCUGAUGGAGGAACGGCAGUCGAUUCAUGGCCGCAAGAGCAAGAUUGUGAAGCCUGUACCAAUGCAGAAAUGGGAGCCGCCGGACCCUGGAUGGGUGAAGGUGAACGUCGACGGAGCAACGACCAAGAUGGGAAAGAAGGGUGGCGUGGGAGUGGUGUUCGGAAAUCACGAGGGUGCCUUCCUGGGAGGGGCAUGCCACUUCUUUCCUCAGUCUAUGGAACCAGCAAAGAUCCUAGCUGACGAAGUGAAUGCUACUUACUAG
rnacentral:rRNA from 1 species